ACAGUAUGUUUUCCAUGUGUUAUUCAGUGGGUAGAAUUAGUUUUUUUUUUUUUUUUCAGUCUUCAUUGGAGUCACAAUAUUAUGAAUUCUUACUUAGUCAAAAUUCUUAUAGUAAACCUACAGUAAAAGAAUGUGCUUCAACAUUGGCUUGAAGUUUGCUGUAACACACUGUAUAAAGGAUUCAUAUCGUCAUUGUCACGAAUGGCAUCAGUGCUGUUUAUUUAGUGACCAUACACUGUAAAAAAUUAUUUAGCAGUUUAGUUGUUUCAAUGAAUUUUUUUAUGUUGACACAACUUGCAGUUACUGAAUUUGUUCAUUCAACUAAAAAUUUUAAGUUUUCAGUGUCUCAACUAGUUUGAAAGUUGACUGAACUAGGUCAUUUGUCCUCAUAAUUUAAAAAAAUUUGUUGACUCAAUUCAAUAGCAAUAUCACGUUCACAACAUCACUUAUCGCGAGAUCUCGUCAUUCUCCUGAAUGCUGUUGAAGAGAGAAGAAGGUUGUCAGCCAUUCCAGUCAGUUUCUCCUCAAAGUUUGGACAUUUGACUAGAAUACAACUUUGGUAAGUAAAAUAUUCGUAUUUAUUGGCUUAAUGUGUAAAAUUACAUUUGUUGUCUCAGAAGAGUAAGUAUUGUUUAAAGAGUCGUAUAUUCUGUAUGUAAGUUACUGUAUGUAAAUGUUCGUUUCGCGGCACUCUGAAGCCUCAAAAUACAGGCGGUUCCACAGUAUUCUCCUUAUAAAUAUUAAAACAGAUAUUCUCCCAUGCGGGACAGCGGAGCUAAACUUAUGUGGAGCACGAUAAAAAUACAGUUUGUAUGUAUUAUUUGAGCCCAGGGCUGCGUUAGAGGCCGUGCAAACAGAGCGCGAGAGCUCAACGCGGAUCACUGUAUGGAUUAAGAACGGCGGGAAUAAAAAAAAAAAGGAACUGCUCUUAACCUGACAGCGUAAGACAUUCGUCAGAAUAUACAUCGAUGAAACAUUAGGAGAAAAAAAGAAGAUUCCUACUCGAACUGUGUCUUUUCUGCAUGUUAUAAGGGAAACAAAUGAGCACCAUAGAUGAGCACCUCCCUCAGAGUUAUUCUGGAGCGCGUAUCUUAACGUUACAUUUGAUAUCGCUGACAUAAGCUUAGUUCUGAUUAUUUUUUUACAGUCUACGGUUCAGAUGAAGUUCUGAAGGUAGCGUUACAAACUCUUCUUUCAGUUUUCUGAAGUAACGUUAGUCAUUCAAGUGCCUCGCUAGAACCUAGAACCCAGUGUAAUACUGCGUGAAUAUCUGUUUUUAUAUAGUCUAUGGUGAAUAUACGGUCAUAAGUAAAUUGCGUACGUUUAAAUCUAUAUAUUUUAGAAUAAAAGUAAUAAUAUCAUAUAUCUUGUAUAAAUAGAGAUACAAUAACGAUCGACACAAAUGUAAAUUUCCUUUUAUUGUGUUAUAAUUAUGUGUUGUGUCAUUUAAAAGCAUUGUCUGGAUGGUAUAGUUUGUCUUUGGCAUUUAAUACAAACUUGUCAAUACAUUUGUCUUUCUCUGUAAAGAUUAAUUUAUAUGUAUGGUUAUUAUUUUACAGUGUUUUAACAUGUUUUUGUAUUUUUCAUGUUUAUGAUAUUUUUGAAUGACUGAAGAUUCAGCGCAGAAUUCAAUAAUCCUGUCGAUGGACCACAGCGAGUCCUUUUGCAGUUAUCCAUCAAAAAGAUAUGCAGACAUAAUGGAAAUGGCAUUUACAUUGUAGAGCUUGGACGAAGUUCACACAGGCUCUGCGCAGGAAUUCAUCAAGGACAUGACUGCUGGGAUUACGCUUGUGGAUGACCAAACUGAGCACCAUCAGUCUGCAGUGAUGUGAUCCAGCCAUCCAGUGACAUUAAGGAUGUUGAGAAAGAAAUUGAAGAGGGCAUUCUGAUUGUAACUGAGGAACAGCAAUGUGAUGUGCUUCCCAAGGAAUAACCAACAUUGGUCUCAUUUGGACAUCCUGUCAUCACUGACAUCUCCCAUGUCCCCAAGGCAUAUGGACUCCUAAUGGGUCUGUAUGCAGUGAACAUCCACCACCUCCAGCGCAUUAAAUACACCAUUGAGGCUCUGCAAAAACUUGUGAAGACCAGCUGCUCCCACCGUGUGCUCGCUACCGCGGCAGGAACUGUAGGUGUGGGGGAGUGAAUGUCCAGUGCUCUCUCCACCCUCAACACCACAAAUAAGGUGUCCUUGAGCAAGGCACAACUUCUCCCCGGGCGCUGCAGCAUAAAUGGCUGCCCACUGCUCUGGGUGUGUGUUCACGGUGUGUGUUCACUGCUGUGUGUGUGCACUUUGGAUGGGUUAAAUGAAGAGCACAAAUGUAUGUCAUGUCACUUUCACUUUUCAGUGUUCAUGAUGUGUCCAUCGGCUCCACCGCACUCUUUCUUAAAAAGUAGUGUUUUUUUUUUUUUUUUUUAUAAGGAAAGGUUCUUUUGUGCCUUUCACUAUAUAGAAUGUACAUUAAAGUUUACAUGUCAUGACUUGGAAUAUGUAUGUUCUCAUGUAAACAAAUGUUUUUUCACCUCUCAUUUUCUUAAACAGUAUGUACACAUUUUCAGUAUGUAGCAUUAUGAUGGGGGACGAGUUUGGAAACUUUCAAGAUCCUUCUGAUGUUAACACCUCUGUCUGGUCAUGUUGUGCUGUGAAAUUUAGAAUCUGACUUUAGAUCUUUGUGCUUCCAUGUGCAUUCAUUCCAUUUAUAUCUUAUUAUACAGAAGUACAGUACACUCAUUUUUUGUAACUAAUUGUGAUAUUAUAUUACAUAUAUCUUGGUUUCUCAUUUUGACCAUGACUUGCAUUAUGGUGGGGGGAGUGCAUGUGAACUUGUGCAGGGUUAAUAUGCAGAGUUCAACCUUCUGAUUUUCAUAUUGCAUUAUGAAAUUAAAAACAAUCCCUGUGGUUUUGAUCUGAUGAAUUGAAAUGCAACUAUUUGUUUCUCAAUCCCAUGCCAAUGUUAUUUAUUAUACAUCACACUUUCAAGUGUCGGUUCAGAUCUUUAGACGUGUUUGUAUUUUGCAUUUUUUGUUUUGUUUAUCAAUUAUCAGUUGAUGUGUUGACAGCAAAUUGCUUGUUCAAUUUAAAUGUGAAUGAAAGUGUUGUCUCUAUCAUUAAAUAAAUUAUAUUAAAAAAAGUGUUUUGUCAUCUUUAUUUAAACAUUUAAGGCAGUGGAGUAACAUUUGUUUAUGAUUAUUGAUCGAAGUAAAAAAAAAUCCCUGUUGACACAACAUGAUUUAGUUGACUGGACUAGAAAAUAAUAGUCAAGUCAACUUAAAGAAAUUUGUUACCUGGACUAACUCCACUCUAGUUUGAAGUUGUUUCAACAAGAUUUUUUUUGUCAAGAUAACAAAAAAUUUUUAGGCAGCGGGGUAACAAAAUAUUUUUAGUUGACUCAACAAAUUCUUUUUUACAGUGUACACCCUUUUUUUUUGGUUUUGUUUUUCUGUUGUUUUCACACUUGCUGAAGGUAAUGACUGAAAAGUAGUUGCCAAUAGCGUGCCAGUAUUAUACAUCGAUCAAUUGUGGCAAGAAAGUGGGAUUUACAGAGAACAGUCAUAACAAUGCAAAUAUUCGAACAUAUGAGGACUGUAUAGAGAGACCAUCAAUAAGAAAACAGCCAAAUUUUAGCCAAUUUAGAAAUCAUAGCCAUGUAUGUGAAAAAAGGACUAUGGUCACCCUGUGUUUAUUACCAUCUGCAAGAUACAAGGGUCAAUCACAUGUUGCUCACUUUUGUUUGCAUCCUUUUUUUUUUCUUUUUUUUUUUUUUUUGGUUUUGUUUCUUUUUGCUUUGUUUAAAAAAAUACAUGUAAUAUUUUGACAUUUUUAAUUUCUACGUUUAAAGAUAUAUAUUUUCGCAAUACUGGGAUGAUACAACCGUCCCGAUAUACUGAAGAGAAAGCCUCAUUAAAGGCUUUUGCCAUUUUAUUAUAAAAACAACAAAGUAGUUUUGUUAAAAUAAUCAAAUAUUUGAAAAACGUUUACCUGCAUAAAAGUAAUGUGGUGUUAUACCGUCAAAAGGUUGAUGUAUUAACAAACAACGAACAAUACAUUCAUAACAGUAUUUAUUCAUCUUUGUUAAUGUUAGCUAAUGAAAAUACAGUUGUUCAUUGUUAGUUAAUUCAAAAAAAGCUUUUGACUUUAAUAAUGCAUUAGUAAUUGUUGAGAUUAACAUUAAUUAAGAUUAAUAAAUGCUGUAUAAAGUAUUGUUCAUUCUUUGUUCAUGUUAACUAAAGUAGUUAACGAAUAAAAACGAAUCAAUUAAUCAACUAUUUAAUUUUAUUGUAAAGUGUUACCAAAAAGACAUUCAUAGGAAAUAGAAAGGACCCCUGAAAAAUUCCCGAAAACAAAUUUUUUUAUGAAUAAAGAACUAACUAUAUUUGUAAUAGUACGAAAAAAGAUAAAUAUUAACAUUUAUUAGAACCUUUAUUUAUUUAUUUAUUUAUUUUUUUUAUUAGAAUUAAUGCACUUGUUCAAAGUAUGUUAGUUCUUUUAUUGAUGGUUAUUCCACAUGAC